UAUGUUUGUAUAUCAAAUGCUAGUUUAUUCUGUAAACAGUUUUAUAAUGCCUUAACAUAUGAGAAAUGAUAAAUGAACACAAAAAGUGACACCGACACCGUAUUUCUAUCCGGUCUGUGGAUCGAUUUAGCAAUUUUUAGCUUGCAUCGGGGUUCUGUGCAAGACUCACACUGCCUUGUAUCAUCUCAGUUGUCGCAUUCGGUAUCGAAAAAAAUUGUUUAAAAUGGCAGUGUUCAUACGCUAUAUAAUGCUUGUCCAUACUGAUUUGCUUGAUUUUUCCUAUGUUUGCAAGAAUUACUUAAUUUAUGUGAAAAAAUGCCAAAAUAAUAUAUUGAAAAUUGAUGACUAAAGUUUAAGAAGAGCAAGAUGUGCGAAAGCUUAGUAGAAACCAUGUGCUCAACCAACAUAUAAAUUCUUAUGAUGUGAUGAUGAUUUCAUAUCUACAACAAUGAAUAAGAGGGACAAUACUUAGGUGACAUUGUGGUUGGUGACAUUACCAACCACAAUGUUACAAGUGUGCAAAACAACAAAAAAAUCUUGUGAAAGAAAAAGAAGAAAGCCACAUGUGACAUUAUGGUUGGUCAAUGUCACCCAAGUGCUACCCGAAUAAGAGAGAGACCGAAUGAAUUUAAUAGUUAAUUGUCAUAGUAGUAAACCAAACACCACCAAGCUCCUCAAUUACAAAAUCAGAAAAUUAGUUAUGCAGACUUUAAUUAGAUAAACAACAUAUUCAUAAUAAAUUGAUCCUAAAACCUUUAGUAUGGGUCAUAUUGUCAUACUAGAUAUACAAAAUUUUCAAUAAACCUAAAAGAACAAUAGAUUAUCAUAAGAUAGGAUGGAUAGUGCAUGUUAAUUCAGUAGACGAGUUUAAUCCAUAAUUUCCUUCAGCAUUGCCCAUUGCCAUCGGUCUCACCAUCUCCCACCUCAGAGACGCCAUCUUCCCCUACCGAUUCCUCGCUACCGAUUCCUCGUUGACUGAACUUCCUUCCAAUGGACAAAAUAUUUGUUUGCUAUUUGUUGUCAGUUGAAAACUAGUUUAAACCUCUUUUUAAACUAGUUUUAAACUGACAACAAAUAGCAAACAAAUAUUUUGUCCAUUGGAAGGAAGUUCUGUCAACGAGGGUUCCGUGGGUGAAGAUGGCGUCUUUGAGGUGGCGUCUUUGAGGUGAGAGAUGGUGAGACCGAUGGCAAUGGGCAAGGCUGAAGGAAAUUAUGGAUUAAACUCGUAUACCGUGUUAACAUGCACUAUCCAUCCUAUCUUAUCUUAUCUUAUGAUCUAUUGUUCUUCUAGGAUCAAUUUAUUAUGAAUAUGUUGUUUAUCUAAUUAAAGUCAUAACUAAUUUUCUAAUUUUGUAAUUGAGGAGCGUGGUGUUUGGUUUACUACUAUGCCAAUUAACUAUUAAAUUCAUUCGGUCUCUCUAUUAUUCGGAUAGCAAUUGGGUGACAUUGGCCAACCAUAAUGUCACACGUGGCUUCCUUCUUUUUCUUUCAAAGAUUCUUUUUGUUGUUUUGCAGACUUGUAACAUUGUGGUUGGUAAUGUCACCAAUGUCACCAACCACAAUGUUUUGCAGUUAUUCCAUAAAUUCUAAAUGCAGUUGAUCAAGAAACAAAAUGAAAAAGCUAAUUAAUAAUCACUGUCUUUUUCUACCAAGAAACCAAAUCACAAGUCAAUACUGUAAACCCAAUUCAAUAUCUUAAAACAAUGGGCCAACAAAAAUAAGCAAUGUAAAGAGAGGAAAACAAAUAAAAUACCAUUGAAUCUUCAAUAAAUUGAAAUUAUAUCAUUAAAAUUUUAAAUAUAAUCAAUUCAAUGAAGAUUCUCAAAUAGAUGGUUCAUGAUGAAGAAAAGGACAUAUAUGAGAUCAGUAAAAAUGAAAAAGCUGUAAAUCAGUCUUUUUCUACCAAACAAACAAAUCACAUGCAAAAUGAAAGAUCCAGCUACAUAACAAAGAUAACAAUUAUAAAGAAACUAAAAAGAUUACCUCGUAGCACCUGCACAACAGAAGGAUGAAUGACUAUACCUAGCACUGGGUGGGAAACCUCUCCAAGACGACCACGCUUCCUCUUCCUCUAGAUUAAAGUCAGGAGGAGGAUCAAGUCCCGUCCCAUUGGAAUCAAGUCCAGUCCCAACAAAGUCACCAGCAUUAUCUUUCUUAUGAUUAAAAUUAAAAUUAAAAAUCAUAAGAUCAUUUAUUAAAUAGAGAAACAACGAACUAAAUAAAAAAAAUCAUCUAAAACUGGAUUAUCUUAUGAUUAAAAUUAAAAAUCAAAAUCAUAAGUUCGGUUGAUUCGAUCGAUGUUAUAAUUUUUCAACCAUUUCCCAUGAUUUCAGAUUUUGUAUUCCACUAUAACAAGAUAACUACUGAUUUCGUAAAAUCAACAAACUGAAUAGAUCAGAUCCGUCAAGAUAUUGUUAAAAACAGAACACAUGUGAAACUAGUGAACGACGGCGAACUAAAUUG
rnacentral:lncRNA from 1 species